UGGCUCAUUUUUAUGGGAGGUGGGCUCAGCCUACCAGAACUCUCCUCAGCCCAGACUAGAGGGACCAGGCGCCCUUCUCCAUAGGAAAGGUAUUUAAGUAAAGAGCCUCACCUGGGCUGUCUUGGCCUUGGAUUU
rfam:Tupaia chinensis contig24091, whole genome shotgun sequence.